rnacentral:rRNA from 1 species
GUGCCAGCAGCCGCGGUAAGACGAGGGAUCCUAGCGUUGUUCGGAAUCAUUGGGCGUAAAGCGGGUGUAGGCGGACUUAUAAGUCAGGUGUGAAAUCCCAGGGCUCAACCCUGGAAGUGCAUUUGAUACUGCAAGUCUUGAGUGUGGUAGAGGUUACUGGAAUUGUUGGUGUAGUGGUGAAAUACGUAGAUAUCAACAGGAAUACCNGAGGCGAAGGNGANUAACUGGGNCAACACUGACGNUGAGAACCGAAAGCGUGGGGAUCAAACA